AUACGUAGGUGGCAAGCGUUAUCCGGAUUUACUGGGUGUAAAGGGCGCGUAGGCGGGCAUGCAAGUCAGAUGUGAAAUUUAUGGGCUUAACCCAUAACCUGCAUUUGAAACUGUGUGUCUUGAGUGGUGGAGAGGUAAGUGGAAUUCCUAGUGUAGCGGUGGAAUGCGUGGAUAUUAGGAGGAACACCAGUGGCGAAGGCGACUUACUGGACAUUAACUGACGCUGAGGCGCGAAAGCGUGGGGAGCAAACAGGAUUAGAUACCCUGGUAGUCCACGCUGUAAACGAUGAAUACUAGGUGUGGGGGGACUGACCCCCUCCGUGCCGCAGUUAACACAAUAAGUAUUCCACCUGGGGAGUACGGCCGCAAGGUUGAAACUCAAAUGAAUUGACGGGG
rnacentral:rRNA from 1 species